ACAUCCGCGAAAAUCUGAAAAUCACAUGAAAAUGAUCAUAAUGGAAAACAAACCCAGGAUUAUUUAUUUCUGCAUUUAUCACGCAUAAUGCGUAUUUAAUCUUCCACCAUGGAAGAAGGCGAAUCUAAUUUGUAUUUCGACAUCAGAGACGACCAGUGGCCUCUAAUAUACGAUGAUCGAUACAAUGUGUCCGUUAUGGGGCUAGAGAGAUUGCAUAUCUUCGAUGCAAAGAAAUGGCGCAACAUAAUACAGAACCUGAAAGAGUCAGGAUUCCCCACAGAUGACAUCAUAGUGAGGCCAUUGGAGGCUCAAAAGAGUGAUCUCCUUCUUGUACAUACUAAAAAGUACUUGAAGUCAUUAAAAUGGAGUACAAAAGUAGCUGUAAUAACAGAAGUGCCAGUUGUUGCUUUGUUACCCAAUGCCAUUGUCCAGUAUUCGUAUCUGAAGCCCAUGAGGUUACAAACGGGGGGGUCAGUGCUCGCUGGUAAGUUAGCACUAGAGCGCGGCUGGGCUAUCAACGUAGGGGGUGGGUUCCAUCACUGCAGCGCGGAUCGCGGUGGCGGAUUCUGCCCGUACGCGGAUAUCACGUUGCUCAUACAGUUUCUUUUCACGACCGGACGGAUACAGAACGCUAUGAUCGUCGAUUUGGAUGCUCAUCAGGGAAACGGCUACGAGCAUGAUUUUCUGGGUGUAUCCGAGGUGUACAUAAUGGAUAUGUACAAUCGAAAUAUCUACCCGCGGGACCGCGUGGCAAAGCAGGCCAUUCGACGCAAAAUCGAGCUCGGGAACAAGGUCGAGGAUUUAGAAUAUAUGCUCAAGUUACGCACAAACUUGAAGGCGGCUCUGGAAGAGUUCACGCCCGACAUCGUGGUAUAUAACGCUGGCACAGACGUGUUGGACUCGGACCCGCUGGGACUCAUGAGGAUUAGUGAAAUUGGUAUAGUAAAAAGAGACGAAUUCGUGUUCGAAAUGUGCGUAAAGCGGGGAAUCCCCGUAGUGAUGCUCACGAGUGGGGGGUACCUUCGCAAGACGGCCAAGAUCAUCGCCGACUCCAUCAUUAACCUGCGCAACAAGGGCCUUAUCGGCGGCAAGGAAUUAACAUUUUAGAAAACGUAUUGUUAGACAAUGGCCGUAUGCAUGGGAACCACAAAUCAAACUACGUCAUCCCAAAAAUACUUAUAGGACAUGUGAACUGUAUAUUCCAUGAAACAGUAAUCUCGCAGACUUAUGCUUUAUUCAAUAAAUGAAUAAAAAUUUAAACAAUAUCGUCGCUAAAAUGAAAUUUGUGAUCCAUGGUAUUUUUAUCUUAAACGGUGUCAUUUAAAAUUAAGCGAAUUUAAACCUUAUUUAUAUUAUUAUUUAAAGGCUCAUAAGUUACAUUUACACCCUUACCAUACUGCGGAACUAAUAACUGCUGUGGAUAAUUUUGAUAUUGAUGUUAAAAAUCAUUACUACCACCACCAGGUUAGGGUCAAUUGGUAACUUGUCAACCUGUAAAUAAGUGACUGGCAUACUUAUUAGUGCUCGUAGUAAAAAGUUAUAUUUCAUAUACUAUCUCUUAGGUUUACUUUACAUUGCUGCGAAACGGAAUGAAAGUGAAUUUUUGUAACGAAAUUGUAGAUAAAAUGUUUAUUUUAUAGUGUUUUUAUAAAGCACAAGCAAGACAAAUGUAAUACUAUACAAAACUUACAUAUUAGAAAGUUUUAAUUAGAAAAUAUCCUCGAGAGCCGCAACCGCACAUCCGGAAAGCUAGCAACAUUUCCCUUUUGAAUAAACUUAUUCUUUGGCGCAAAUACUGCCAGUUGUGGGCACCGGAGGCUUCUAGGAGGCGAUUUGACAGUUUCGCCUGCGCCCCCAGUGACCCUGUAGCGCUGAGCAAAGUUGUCCUUUUGCGGUUCUCGGCCACUCUGGCGACAGAGCCUGCGCCACGACCCAUAGCUUAAUGAACUUUAUUUCAACUGUGUAACGUACAAAUUAGCGUAGUAUCUAGUAUAUACGUUGCACAAUUGAUAGUUCACGUCCAUUCCGUUCCGAUGUAAAUUGAGCCUUAAAAUAGGAGUUAAAAUCGCGCCAAAUAGUGCUGACUGAUAUAGUGAUGAUUUAAAAGAUGUUUUGGAAAGUGUGUAAACUUAAAACAUUAGUACAAUAUUAAAUAAAUAGAUACCUUAUAAUAUCGUGCUGAUUCACCUGCAUUGUCUAGUCAUAAUUAUAGUGCCAAUAUUCAGACAAAAUUAGGUAAUUUGGGAUUGGCACGCGUAAGUGGAAAAAAAGAGGGGUAUUGAACAGCACAAAUAGUACUUAUUAUUCGCUCAUAGUUCCAGUUUCUACCUAUAUGAUGGGAUUUGGAAGUAACUAACAUUCCAUAGGAAUAGGAAAUGAUAUAACAGAAUAUUUUUCCUCAUA